rnacentral:rRNA from 1 species
ACUCCUACGGGAGGCAGCAGUGGGGAAUAUUGCACAAUGGGGGAAACCCUGAUGCAGCCAUGCCGCGUGUGUGAAGAAGGCCUUGGGUUGUAAAGCACUUUCAGUAGGGAGGAAGGUAGUGUAGUUAACACCUGCAUUAUUUGACGUUACCUACAGAAGAAGCACCGGCUAACUCCGUGCCAGCAGCCGCGGUAAUACGGAGGGUGCGAGCGUUAAUCGGAAUUACGUGGGCGUAAAGCGCAUGCAGGCGGCCUGUUAAGUCAGAUGUGAAAGCCCGGGGCUUAACCUCGGAAUUGCAUUUGAAACUGGCAGGCUAGAGUCUUGUAGAGGGGUUAGAAUUUCAGGUGUAGCGGUGAAAUGCGUAGAGAUCUGAAGGAAUACCAGUGGCGAAGGCGGCCCCUGGACAAAGACUGACGCUCAGAUGCGAAAGCGUGGGAGCAAACAGGAUUAG